GCUUUUGUGUUGUAACAGUAGCACACUCGGCUCGUAUUCUAGAGGUCCAGGUUCGAAUCCCGGCAAGGACA
rnacentral:tRNA from 1 species